rnacentral:rRNA from 1 species
GUGAACGCUGGCGGUAGGCCUAACCCAUGCAAGUCGCACGGCAGCACAGUAAGAGCUUGCUCUUACGGGUGGCGAGUGGCGGACGGGUGAGGAAUACAUCGGAAUCUACUUUUUCGUGGGGGAUAACGUAGGGAAACUUACGCUAAUACCGCAUACGACCUACAGGUGAAAGCAGGGGAUCUUCGGACCUUGCGCGAUUGAAUGAGCCGAUGUCGGAUUAGCUAGUUGGCGGGGUAAAGGCCCACCAAGGCGACGAUCCGUAGCUGGUCUGAGAGGAUGAUCAGCCACACUGGAACGGAGACACGGUCCAGACUCCUACGGGAGGCAGCAGUGGGGAAUAUUGGACAAUGGGCGCAAGCCUGAUCCAGCCAUACCGCGUGGGUGAAGAAGGCCUUCGGGUUGUAAAGCCCUUUUGUUGGGAAAGAAAAGCAGCAGGUUAAUACCCCGCUGUUCUGACGGUACCCAAAGAAUAAGCACCGGCUAACUUCGUG